rnacentral:misc_RNA from 1 species
GAAAUGCGAUAAGUAGUGUGAAUUGCAGAAUUCGGUGAAUCAUCGAAUCUUUGAACGCACAUUGCGCCCGCCAGUAUUCUGGCGGGCAUGCCUGUCCGAGCGUCAUUUCAACCAUCAAGCCCCCGGGCUUGUGUUGGGGACCUGCGGCUGCCCGCAGGCCCUGAAAACCAGUGGCGGGCUCGCUGUCACACCGAGCGUAGUAGCAAUCACCUCGCUCAGGGCGUGCUGCGGGUUCCGGCCGUUAAACAGCCUUACAAAACCCAAGGUUGACCUCGGAUCAGGUAGGAAGACCCGCUGAACUUAAG